rnacentral:rRNA from 1 species
GACGAACGCUGGCGGCGUGCUUAACACAUGCAAGUCGAACGGAAAGGCCCUGCUUUUGCGGGGUGCUCGAGUGGCGAACGGGGGAGUAACACGCGAGUAACCUGUCCUUGUAUUUGGGAGAACUUCAGGGAACAGGGGCUAAUACCGGAUAGGAGCUCCUGAAGCAUGGUGGGGGUUGGAAAGUUUCGGCCGUUGGGGCUGGACUCGCGGCUUAUCAGCUUGUUGGGGAGGUAGUGGCUUACCAAGGCUUUGACGGGUAGCCGGCCUGAGAGGGUGGCCGGCCACAUUGGGACUGAGAUACGGCCCAGACUCCUACCGGAGGCAGCGGUGGGGAAUCUUGCACAGUGGGCGGAAGCCUGAUGCAGCGACCCCGCGUGCGGGAUGACGGCCUUCGGGUUAUAAACCGCUUUCGCCUGUGACGAAGCGUGCGUGACGGUAAUGGGUAAGAAAGCACCGGCUAACUACGUG